GAACUUAAAUCACGACGGAGUUUUAUCGUGUUAUUGAUGAGCAAUAAGCUAGAAAUUCGUCAAUACAAUUAUUAUCGCAGAUGAAUACCGGGACUGUUUUCAAAAAUAGUUUUGAAGAAAUACGAAGACGUAAUUGAUGUCAAAUCGUAAUCAGGAGAAAGGUCAGAAUUAGUAAAUAAUUAUCAGAUAUAUUUGAACUGCCAUCCGUAUGUUCCAUGAGUAAACUAUAUCUCCUUUAUUUUGUGAUGUUAGUAGAUACAAGAGUUCCAUUCGCGUGAUAGUGUGAAUAAGACGGAGAAGAAGAAAACACGUGAAUUCGAAAUUUUGAUCUUUUCCAUUGUGUUGAAUAGCAAAAUGAAAAUCUCGUGUAUUAUUCUCGUAGCGCUUCUAGCAGUUCAGUGUCCAAAUACCUUCGGAAGAAGAAUUCGUCAUCCUGAACCAGAAUCGAUAGCUGAAAGACCAUUCGAAAAACAAGAUUGCUUCAAGGACACUCAUGGGGGUCAAAUGGUCUGUAUGGCCCUGAUGUAUCGUUACAAGUGGAGUGAACCAGAUCAGGACUGCGUGAAGGCUAUAUAUGGAGGGUGUCAUGAAACCAAAAAUAAUUUCCACACAGUGGAUCAUUGCCGUGAAGUAACGUUUCCUGUAUGCAAAUCAAAUAAAAAAUAAUGGAUGGAAUAGGAAAGUUAUUCAAUGAAAUGUUUAUUAUAGAUUAUUCGAUGUAUUAUGAAAGUAAAAAUAAAGAAACUGCCUCAAAAUGCUAGGGUCAAAUUCAAAA